rnacentral:miRNA from 1 species
UAGAGUGACCAACCAUUGUGGUUUGCCUGGGACUGAGGGCUUUCCCGGGACAUAGAACUUGCAGUUGUAAAACCAGAACCAGUUGGCUAUCCUG